CGUGAAAUCAAUAAUAAAACGCAAAGUAUAUCAGUGUUGCAACUAAAAAACUUUGUUUAAUGUUUCUUAAAUACAAACAAACACAGCCA